GCCAGAGUCAAAUCCCCCUGCAGUUCUCACCCGGUUUCCCACUGAAACUAAGCAGGGUUGAGUCGGCGAGUACCUGGAUGGGAGACCUCCUGGGGAAAACUAAGGUUGAUGAUGGAA
rnacentral:rRNA from 1 species